AUUGAACGCUGGCGGCAUGCUUUACACAUGCAAGUCGAACGGUAACAGGCCGCAAGGUGCUGACGAGUGGCGAGCGGGUGAGUAAUGCAUCGGAACGUGCCCAGUCGUGGGGGAUAACUGCUCGAAAGAGCAGCUAAUACCGCAUACGAUCUAUGGAUGAAAGCGGGGGACCGUAAGGCCUCGCGCGAUUGGAGCGGCCGAUGUCAGAUUAGGUAGUUGGUGGGGUAAAGGCUCACCAAGCCAACGAUCUGUAGCUGGUCUGAGAGGACGACCAGCCACACUGGGACUGAGACACGGCCCAGACUCCUACGGGAGGCAGCAGUGGGGAAUUUUGGACAAUGGGGGCAACCCUGAUCCAGCAAUGCCGCGUGCAGGAAGAAGGCCUUCGGGUUGUAAACUGCUUUUGUACGGAACGAAACGGUCUGGGUUAAUACCCUGGGCUAAUGACGGUACCGUAAGAAUAAGCACCGGCUAACUACGUGCCAGCCGCCGCGGUAAAAC
rnacentral:rRNA from 1 species